GUGAGGUGUGCAGAACAGUACUCAGGAAAUGCAAAGAGGGUACAUCUGAAGGAGGAGGAGAGAGGCCUGGAUGUGAACCACAUUGCAAAGGUAUUUGUGCAUUCAUCCGGAACAGCAAUGUUCGUCCUUAUUUCAAGGUAUCAAGGCCUGGCACUUUCCCCAGAAAAUCUCUUGCCGUGAUUUAUUGCUGAGUGUCUGGAGAAGCCGGUGAGCAAGAUUGCGCAAGGAUUUGGAAGAUGGGAGAAAAAAUCCAGGGCUGAGAUGAGGAAGGUUCCGUGGCUUGCUCAGACAGCAGAGCAGGACCUCCUGGGGUUGCCAGCCAAAGCCCAACUUGAGCGGUGUCUCAGCUAUGGGACAUGAGCUCCCACUUCUGGUUGCCUACAGCACCCAACACUCAUCUGCUGAAGUUACAGCUCAGAGAGAAAUAGAAAAUGGGCUUUAUAGGCUGAGGCUGACAAGAGGGGAAGGGAAUGCACCUCUGCAGCAUGUGCAAUAAAUGAGAUUCUUCAAAAUGCCUGUACCAAUGUGUUUCUUGCACAGAAUGUAAUAGCCUUGCACUUUGAAGGGGAACAUGUAUAUCACCCAGCUGGAAUGCAGGCAGCAUCCCCAGGUCCAGCAGCAAGUCCCUAGCUCAGAGAAAAAAUCAUUUUUUUCUCUGCAGUUAAAAAGUUCUACUCCCAAGAUUUACCAUGCAAGUAUCCUCCAACUCCUGCCUCCUCCCCAUUAUUUUUGUCUCUUGUAAUCACUUCUCUCAUAUCCUAGAAAUUCCUGUUUUACACAUCGGGUGCUACGUAUCAUGCCUCACUCAUGAGUUUUACAUUCCUAUGACAUGGCAGACUUUGAUACAAUUACAGUCUGGUUACACAUCUUAAUUUAUGUUACUAUAUUGCUGUAGUGAUAUCAGAGACAAAUGUUUAAUUCACAGAACCUCAGUUUCAAAUUGCAGUCCCUGAAUGCAAACAGCAGACUUCAAUAUUUUUU